rnacentral:rRNA from 1 species
UACGUAGGGGGCAAGCGUUGUCCGGAUUCAUUGGGCGUAAAGAGCUCGUAGGCGGCUUGGCAAGUCGGGUGUGAAAACUCCAGGCUCAACCUGGAGACGCCACCCGAUACUGCCAUGGCUAGAGUCCGGUAGGGGACCACGGAAUUCCUGGUGUAGCGGUGAAAUGCGCAGAUAUCAGGAGGAACACCGGUGGCGAAGGCGGUGGUCUGGGCCGGAACUGACGCUGAGGCGCGAAAGCUAGGGUAGCAAACGGG